GAUUGCACAAAUUUAAUCUUGUACUCUUUUCCUCUAAAUUCACAAAUAUUUGCUUCCAACAGAUGAUCCAAAUAUUUUCUCAACCAAUUUUUGGAGUCCCACCGAUCGAAAAGAGAAAAUUUAGGGAAGCCACUAGUGAGUUCCUAUCAUGAGUGUUCCAAGAGCUACAGCCACACAAAAAAUACAUCAUUUAACGAAAUGCAUGAAUGUUAGUAAAAAAGCACGGAUUAAAAGAUUAUGGAUCACUAUAUACUUGAUUACUAUAACAAGUCAUAAUAUAGCUCUGUUGUGGUGUAGGUGGGAGGGCAUCAAUAGUCUUAGAUUAGAGCA
rnacentral:lncRNA from 1 species